GGGGAUGUGGCUCAGUGGUAGAACGCUUGCCUGGCAUGCGUGAGGCCCUGGGUUUGAUCCCCAGCACCCCCC
rfam:Ictidomys tridecemlineatus contig103497, whole genome shotgun sequence.